GGCAAUGGGCGCAGCUGAUGCAGCAAUGCCGCGUGAGUGAUGAAGAGCCUUCGCGGUUGUAAACGCUCUUUUACGUGGACGAUAACUGACGGUACCUGGGGAAUAAGCACCGUCUGACUCCGUGCCAGCAGCCGCGGUAAUAAAUACG
rnacentral:rRNA from 1 species